UAACUACUCCCUCCGUCCGAAAAUACAUGUCAUCAAAAUGGACAAAAAGGAAUGUAUCUAGAACUAAAAUACAUCUAGAUACAUCUCCUUUUAUCCAUUUUGAUGACAAGUAUUUCCAGACGGAGGGAGUAGUAA
rfam:Triticum aestivum genome assembly, contig: Triticum_aestivum_CS42_TGACv1_scaffold_020161_1AS